rnacentral:rRNA from 1 species
AACGAACGCUGGCGGCAUGCCUAACACAUGCAAGUCGAACGAUGCCUUCGGGCAUAGUGGCGCACGGGUGCGUAACGCGUGGGAAUCUGCCCUGGCUUCGGAAUAACAGUUAGAAAUGACUGCUAAUACCGGAUGAUGUCCCCCUGAGAGAUCUUGGGGACCAAAGAUUUAUCGGCAAAGGAUGAGCCCGCGUAGGAUUAGGUAGUUGGUGGGGUAAAGGCCUACCAAGCCGACGAUCCUUAGCUGGUCUGAGAGGAUGAUCAGCCACACUGGGACUGAGACACGGCCCAGACUCCUACGGGAGGCAGCAGUGGGGAAUAUUGGACAAUGGACGCAAGUCUGAUCCAGCAAUGCCGCGUGAGUGAUGAAGGCCUUAGGGUUGUAAAGCUCUUUUACCAGGGAUGAUAAUGACAGUACCUGGAGAAUAAGCUCCGGCUAACUCCGUGCCAGCCGCCGCCGUAACAC